rnacentral:rRNA from 1 species
GGUUAAGCGACUAAGCGUACACGGUGGAUGCCCUGGCAGUCAGAGGCGAUGAAGGACGUGCUAAUCUGCGAUAAGCGCCGGUAAGGUGAUAUGAACCGUUAUAACCGGCGAUUUCCGAAUGGGGAAACCCAGUGUGACUCGUCACACUAUCAUUAACUGAAUCCAUAGGUUAAUGAGGCGAACCGGGGGAACUGAAACAUCUAAGUACCCCGAGGAAAAGAAAUCAACCGAGAUUCCCCCAGUAGCGGCGAGCGAACGGGGAGGAGCCCAGAGCCUGAAUCAGCAUGUGUGUUAGUGGAAGCGUCUGGAAAGGCGCGCGAUACAGGGUGACAGCCCCGUACACAAAAGCGCAUGUGCUGUGAGCUCGAUGAGUAGGGCGGGACACGUGGUAUCCUGUCUGAAUAUGGGGGGACCAUCCUCCAAGGCUAAAUACUCCUGACUGACCGAUAGUGAACCAGUACCGUGAGGGAAAGGCGAAAAGAACCCCGGCGAGGGGAGUGAAAAAGAACCUGAAACCGUGUACGUACAAGCAGUGGGAGCACCCUUUGGGGUGUGACUGCGUACCUUUUGUAUAAUGGGUCAGCGACUUAUAUUCUGUAGCAAGGUUAACCGAAUAGGGGAGCCGGAGGGAAACCGAGUCUUAAUUGGGCGUUAAGUUGCAGGGUAUAGACCCGAAACCCGGUGAUCUAGCCAUGGGCAGGUUGAAGGUUGGGUAACACUAACUGGAGGACCGAACCGACUAAUGUUGA